rnacentral:lncRNA from 1 species
CUAACACUCUAAAAAGAAGUAGUUCGACUUUAGUUCAAGUAUUUUGGAUGUGUAUAUAAUUUAACACACACACACAUACACAUCAUAUCAGAGAGAGAGAGAUGAGUUCAAUGGGGUGGUCUUUUCAGGCAUAUUUGAUGAACCUCAUCCUCAUAUCAGUUAUCAUCAACCCUCUUGUGCUUGGUUGCUACAAUUCAAUCAUCGGCUUUGGAGAUUCAAUUACUGAUACAGGCAACUUAUACAACAGCGAUCCUAACAGAUCUCUCAACUUCUUCCACCCGCCAUAUGGAGAGACCUACUUUCAUCAUCCCACGGGACGAUGCUCGGAUGGUCGUUUGGUCAUAGACUUCAUUGGUACUCAUUCACUUAUAUGUAUAUAUCUGACUUUUUUCAUCAGCUUUUCAUGUAACUUUCACUUCAUUUUUUGCAGCUGAGUUUCUGGGACUUCCACUAGUACCACCUUAUCUUGAAAGCCAGAGCAGUAAUCAAAGUGUCCAGAACUUUGAAGCGGGUGUGAAUUUUGCAGUAGCAGGAGCCACGGCGUUAGAUGCUGCCUUUCUUGAAGAAAUGGGGGAUUCUGUUUCAUGUACCAACGACUCUCUAAGCAUUCAACUGGAGUGGUUCAAACAAAUGCUGCCAUCUCUAUGCAACACAUCUUCAGGUAAUUAGUUCCCAAUUUUGUUUUCUCAUUAUAUUUUUGUGUUUCCUUUACUUGAAAUUAUUUCCUGUCCACUUGCUUAUGUGGUUGGCUACACUUUCAAUGCCUCCACCAAACCUAGAUGAUAACUUUAAUAAUUGGACUUGGCGGACCAGAAUUGACUUGGUUGAUUGAUCUGUUAUUUGAUUUUUAUUUCUGAAUAAUUACAGACUGCAACAAAGUCCUUUCAACUUCUCUAAUUCUAAUGGGAGAGAUUGGAGGCAACGAUUACAACGAUGCAUUGCUUGCAGGAAAAAGUAUAGAAAAGGUUCAAGCGUAUGUACCAUUAGUGAUAGAAACAAUUGCUUCAACCAUCAAUGUAAGAGUUGGAACCAUAGUCGCUACUAGGGGUAGUCUGCUUUCUUCAAUGUUGGCUAUGAAUUACAGGCUUGCCUAAUUUCCUAUGGCUGCAUGGUCUGCAGGAGUUAAUCGAGCUCGGGGCGGCAACACUUUUGGUACCAGGCAACUUUCCAAUUGGUUGCCUUCCUGCUUAUCUAACAAAAUAUGAGAGUUCAGAUAAGAACCAAUAUGACCCUUCAACUGGCUGUCUAAACUGGUUAAACAAGUUUUCUGGGUAUCACAAUGAUCAGCUUCAGAUAGCACUAAGUCGGAUUCGAAGGCUUCAUCCUCAGGUCACUAUCAUUUAUGCAGAUUAUUACAAUGCCAUGCUGCAAUUAUAUCAGUCUCCGGACCAAUUUGGUACUUGUCUACCUACCUAUUUCACAAUUUAUGAUAAAUAAAUAAAAAAGAGUAAUACUAAUAAUAAUGAAGAUUAAUGUGAUUGCAGGAUUUAUUGGGGAGACUAGCAAAGCAUGCUGUGGAGGAGGAGGGCCAUACAACUACAACGCAUCCGCACUAUGCGGGGAUGCAGGGGCAAGUGCUUGUGAGAACCCUGCACAGUUUAUCAGCUGGGAUGGCCUGCACUCCACUGAAGCAGCACACAGGUGGAUAACCAAGGCUAUAUUACAAGGAAAUUACACCGUUCCACGCGUUUCCACUUUGUGUGAUUCACCAGUGUGACUGAGACAGACACCAAUAGCUAACUACUCAAAAAAAAUUAUUUAGAGCAUCCACAAUAAUGCUCCUUAUCUUCCUAGUUAAAAUUUAGUUAAAAACACUAAAAAACUACUCUAGGAGCUCCUUAUAAAAUUUCAACUCCAACAAUCCUCUCUAGGGGAAUCAUAAAUGAUUUAUAUCUUUUUUUAGUUUAGCAUAAAUGUUCAUUCUUCAUAUAAAACAAUAAUAAUAAAUACUUAACAUUAAAUAAAUACUUAAAAUAGCAUUAAAGUAAAGCAGUAUUUAAUUAUGGAGAACCACUAAAAUUUUUUUCUCUCUCUUCAUAGUUAGAGAAACUCCAGCAUAAGCCCAAACUCGGGCAAAUGAUAGCCCUAGGCCCCAAACCCUUCCUCCAGGGCGGAAGGUUCAACCCGGGCAAGAAUUUUCUAGAUUGUUGCCUGAAGGCUGCUGACGUUAGCCAUUGAUUUUCAAAUUUUUUUUUAUUGUUGGCACAUGGAUUACACGCACCAAUAGUACAAAAAAAUUUGAAAAUCAGCGGUUGACCCAUAGCUGCCAGAAACCAAUGGCUACAAGCCAUAUGGCUUCUCUGGAGCCUCCGAUCCAAAAAUCUUAUCCAAUCCAACGGCUCCCUAAUUUUUGGCUUAAAAAAAUUGAAAACAAAAGUAAAAAAUAUCAAAAAUUUUGGAAAUUUUUUCUAUAAAUACCUACCAAUAUUAUUUACUUUCCACACCAAAUCUUCAUACAAAUUCAUCUCCUUCCAAUAUUUUUCACUUUACAAACUAAAUUUUCUACUACAAAAUGGUCUCUUCCAUCAAAGUCGGAGUGUCCUGGACAAAUGUUUGAAUAGGUCAAAGUCUUGGCGACGAGGUAAAAAAAAAUAAAAUUUGCCGUUUUAUUCAAUUUAAUGUCAUUUUUUAAUUUAUAUUUAUUGCAUUUUCAAUUUUAUUUUUUAAUAGAUUAUUCAAGGCAAAAUAAAAAAGAGGAAAACCAUUACACACGGCUCCUUAGGUGAACAAUGGCCGCAAUCGAUUCUAAUGGUGCGUUCCAUGUCGGAAAUAAUGGCACUAUUACGUCAUCCGAAGGAAAAUACACCCCCACGUCGUGAUCUAGUGGGAUCGCCUCCGCCAAUGAUUGAGUCGUUCUUGUAUUCGAUUGUGUCAAGCUAUAAGGACUGGGAGUAUUUCAAUUGUAUGUUGAGUGAGUAAGUAUUUCAAUUGUAUGAUGAGUGAGAUGUGAAUUUUAUAAUAAAUAUGGAUACGUGGCAACUGAAAAUCUUAUCCGAAAAUUUAAUCCGAAAAUCUUAUCAGAAAAUUUUAUCUGGAAUUUGAGAUGAGAAUUUUAUAAUAAAUAGUGACACGUGGCAACCGAAAAUCUUAUCAAAAUUAAUGGUUUAAGUAUAAAAAAAAUAGAAAAUAAAUUAAAGUGAAUAGUGUUUGUCAUUGCCCUUGCUCAUUGAGGUGAAAUCAAAAAAGACAAGGCUGCUGCUAUUCACAUGAGUAGUGACAAACCUUGCCUUGCCUUUCCCUUGCCCUUGCCCUUUUGGGUGGAGGUGCUCUUAGGAGCUCCUAGAGAUGCAGUUAUUUUAGGAGUAGAAUAGAGAGCAUGGUUGGAGGUGGGUUUUCUCACUUCCUCUCUAAAUUUUAUAUAAAGAGGUGGUUUUACCAUUUAAUAUUAUAAACAAUAAGUCAAUGAGGUCUAGCCCAAUGAAAAAGGUCUAGCCCAAUCAAAAAACAGUAAUAUCUAGUACUGUUUCUUUCGUAAACGUUGUUCUCUUGCUCACGAUAAAGAUUAUGAAAAGCACACAACUUUGAACAUCCCUAAUUGCUUUUAGAGCGCCUAUGAACUAAAUUAGAGCAUCCAUGUCUUAAAUCAAAGUCUCCAAGCAGUGUAGAUUCUCAAUGCACAAAAUUAAAGCCAACCACCAAAUUAGUUAUAGUCUCCAAACAUUAAAUUAGAGCAUCCAUAUACAAAAUUUGAGCCUCCAAGAACAAAACUAAAAUCUUCAUGUCCCGAAUUAAAGUAUCCAAGCAUUGAAUUAAAGACUCUAAGACUCAUAUCUGCAUUUGUGGCUUUGUAGCUCAAUGAUCAAUGUUGACCACUUGAUGGAUCGUUUGAGAAUGAUGCAUAUUGCUAGCCCAACCCUUCAAAUUCCUUUUCAUGGCUCCUCUUAACCUUGAUCUCCUUGUGGAGGCAUUGGCAUAGCGAAUUCUUUUGAGCGGGGUUGGAUCUUGUUUUUAGGGUUUCUGCAAUUUGGGGUUUUUUUUCAUGUUGUUUUGAGCUUUAGACUUUCCUUUUGUUAUGGUUGCCCUUGUUAUUUCUUCUAACCCCAAAAAAAAAAAAAAAAAAAAAGAGCGUGGAUGCUUCAAAUUAGAGAGUGGAAGCUGCAAUUUUUAUAUUGAAGGCUUUAACUUUUGACACUGAGGCUUGUGGUGUAGUAAGCAAAUAGAGGGGUAUGCGAAGAAUUCCAAGUUUAGUGGGAAGGUAGUUGUCUGGUGUGCAAUAGGGGUAGACCUGUAAACGGGUCGGAUUCGAAUCAGAUAUAUCUCAAUUUAAAUUUGAAUUCAUUUAUAAUCAGAUUAUCGAAUUUGGACUUUUGGAUUUCUUAAGAAGAGUUGUAUCUCUUGACUAUAUGAGAAGUUGUAUCUUUUAGAUAUCAAAAGUUAUAUCUAAAAGAUAUAACUUCUCAUAUAGUCUCAGAAAGUUAAUAAAAUCAGUUUAUCUAAAUGUAAUUAUAAAUAGCGAAUGUUAGGCUGAUGUUGUAUUGCAGAAAAUUAAUAAAAUCAGUUUAUUUUGGAUGGGAGAGGGAGAGGGGGAGCGAUAGAGAAAGAGGGAGAGGGAGAGGGAGAGGGAGAUGUAGAAGAAGAGAUAGCUCAGGUGCGCAAAAAUAAAAAUUAGGUGGGACGAAUAGAAAAAAGAAGUAGGUGCUUUUGAUAUUUUAUUUAUGGGGCAGUACACUUCCAAGUUACAACACACGCCAGCCAGACGAUUUUUCAUAUAUCUCACUCAUAUCUGUUUAUGAAUCUUCUUUGUUGGCAUGAAAUUGUUUCCUUAUUUUUAUAAGCUCCUCACAUCACCACAAUCCCAAUAUAUUCACAAUAGCAGGUGUAGAUUUCUGAACCCACGUUCACCUAGUGGUGCUUAUAAAAUGGAGAAUUACAAAAAUAGAUGCACGGAGGUCAGAGGACUGAGACAGGCUGUGAGAUCUCCAUAUGCAUGGGCUUUAUUUAACAAGCUUUAAUAUUUUAUUCGUACUUUUGAGUACACCUACUGGUUUGGUUUGGUUUGAUUUGAUUUGGUUUAACUGAUGGUUUUCAAUAUCAAGCACUCAACACCGAAUCAUAGACAUCAGUUUGGUUUGAUUUCAAAUCGAUAACCAAUAAAUAAAUAUAUAUAUAUAUAUAUAUAUAUAUGCUAGGCUGUUUGACCAGGUUUUCGGUGUGUAUGCCCAGCCCUAGUUGGUGUAAUGGAUCCUGUUUUCGCACACUAGAUUAGGCAUAUUUGAAGUGUUAAAGAUGCAGAGUUUGGAAAUGCUGAAAAUACGAUAAAACCUUUUGAUUCAUGUCCUCAUUGCAGGAUUUAUCGGGUGAACUCCAAAAGCAUGAUGUGGAGGAGGAAGGCCAUACAAUUACAACUCAUCAGCAUAAUGUGGUUCUGCACAGGCAAGUGCCUGUGACAUGACAACCAUCGGCAGUUUUUCAGCUGGGAUAACCAGUGCUUUGUUAAAAGGAAAUUACACCAUUCCCCCAAUUAGUACCUAGUGUGUGACCUCUGUUAUUCCAACAACUACCAACCGGUCUACACAAAUGGCAAAGAUUUCCAGUGAAUAUUAUCUACACAUAUCCUAUGUAGAUUCUGCUUAUGGCACACAUUUAAUGGUGUCCACUGUACCUAACAUUCUAAAAAGUAGUUCGACUUUCGUUCAAAUAUUUUUGGAUGUGUAUAAAAUUGAGAGAGAGAGAGAGAGAGAGAGAGAUGAGUUCAAUAGGGUGGUCUUUUCAGGCAUAUUUGAUGAACCUCAUCCUCGUAUCAGUUUUCAUCAUCCCGCAGUACUUGGUUGCUUCAAUUCGGUCAUCAGCUUUGGAGAUUCACUUACUGAUACAGGCAACUUAUACGACAGCUCCCCUAACAGAUCUCUCCACUACUUCCAACCGCCAUAUGGGGAGACCUAUUUUCAUCAUCCCACGGGACGAUGCUCGGAUGGUCGUUUAAUCAUAGACUUCAUUGGUACGUACGCGUAUAUCCACUUAUAUGUAUAUCUAUAUAUCUGACUUUUUUCAUCUUCUCAUUUAACUUUCACUUCAUUUUUGCAGCUCAGUUUCUGGGGCUUCCUUUUGUACCACCUUUUCUUCAAAACCUGAACAGUAAUCAAAGUGUCCAAAACUUUGAAGCGGGUGUGAAUUUUGCAGUAAUAGGAGCCACGGGGCUCGAUGCAUCCUUUCUUGCAACAAUGGAAAUUCAUAGUCCAAGUACCAACAACUUUCUCAGAAUUCAACUGGAGUGGUUCAAACAAAUGCUGCCAUCUUUAUGCAACACAUCUUUAGGUAAUGAUAUCACUACAGAAAAAAGAAGUCAUUUGCGGCAAAUUUUUUCCAAGGAAAAAAUACCAUUUCCAAGAGCAAAACACCCUCCAUCAUCAAUAAUGCAACAAUAUGCUUACUAUUUUCAACACCCAAAAUGCCCUUGGAUAAGGGUUCUCUCGCCAUCGGAAAUAGCUAAUUUCUGACCGGAAAUAUUUGUGCCACAUUUGUUUGCAAUGAAACUUGUGCGCGUCGGUAAUUGUUGUGUUUGCCGAGGGCAUCUUCAUGUUUUCAGAAAUUAUAGCCUAUUUUUUAGGGCAGAAAAUAGUCGUCGGUAGUAAAUUCUCUAUUUUUUAGGGUAAUUAGUUGUUAAAAGUGAUUAUGUACUUCCGUGAGCAAUCAUUAGUUUACGCAAAAGGGUGUCUAUUUGUGAGGGUGUAUAAGAGCAACUCCACCCCUUAGGGCAAAGUCUAAGGCAAGGGCAAGCUAGGGCAAGCAAGGGCUGACACUAUUCACGUGAAUAGUGUCAGCCUUGCCAUUUGUGGUUCCACCCACAAGGGCAAAGUCUAGGGCAAGUCUAGGGCAAUUACUAUUCAUUGUACUUUAUUUCCUAUUUUUUUAUACUUUAAAUCAUUAAUUUUGAUAAUCUUUUUAAUUAAAUUUUCGGAUAAGAUUUUCGGAUGUGAAUCUCGGUUGCCACGUGUCUUAUUCCAGAUAAAAAGAUUUGGUGUGGAAAAUGAAUUAUGUGAGCGGAGAGUAGAAAAUAUUGUAUGGAGAAGAAAUUGUAUGAAGAUUUGGUGUUGAAAGUAGAUAAAAUGGUUAGGUAUUUAUAGGGAAAAAAUACAUACAUUUUUGGUAUUUUUUUAAAAAAAAUUUCAGAAUUUUUUCGAAUUUUUUUGGAUUUUUUAAAAUUUUUUUGGCCAAAAAAAUGAGAACCGUAGGAUUUCUGAAAAAAAUCCAAUCGGAGCCACCGGUGACGACACGUGGCAGUAGCCGUUGGAGCUGACAUCAUCGAUGACGUCACGAUGACGUCAGCGCACUUCAGUCAAAUUUUUUUUACCGUUGGCGCGUGUAACAGUAAAAAAAUUUGAUUUUAGUGCACUGACGUCAUCGCUGACGUCAGCUCAACUCGGGCUCGAGCCCAGUCUGAUUUCGCCCUUGGGCCUGCCCGGGCUCGUGGGACCCGCAGCUUGCCCGGGCUGGAUUGCUUGCGCUGGAGCUGGACUCGGGCUCCUUUUUGCCUUUUGCCUGGGCCAGCCUCUACCGCUGGACUUGCUCUAAUUGCUGUCGGAAAUAGAUAUCUAUUACUGAUGGCAUAUAUUUGCUCUCAGAAAAAAAGUUUAAUGCUACAUUUUUUCACCAUAGAAAUUUUUUUUUCUUUUAAUUUAAAAAAGUCUAAUAUUGUUGUUGUUGUUAAUAGUGUUCCUUUGCAAUACAUUUGUGAAUAUACUAAAGUAAUAUGUGGGCACACUUCACAAUAUGGAAAGAGAACAUUACUUUAUAUAUAGAUAUCAACUCACACAUUAUUUCCUUGAAAUUGUUUCCUGUCCGCUUGUAUUAUUUCUUUGAAGUUGUUUUCUGUCCGCUUGUAUUACUUCCUUGAAAAAGUAUAGAACUGGUUCGAUCAUAUUUACCAUUAGUGAUAGAAGCAAUUGCUUCAACCAUCAAUGUAAGACUUGGGGAAUCAUAAUUGCUGCUUGCUAAGGUAGUCUUUUUUUCUGUUUGCAAUGUUGGCUAUGAACUUAAUUUUCUAUGGCUGCAUGGUUUGCAGGAGUUAAUCGAGCUCGGGGCAGCAACAAUUUUGGUACCAGGCAACAAUCCAAUUGGUUGCCUUCCUACUUAUCUAUUAAAAUUUGAGACUUCAGAUAAGAACCAAUAUGACCCUUCGACUGGCUGCCUAAAAUGGUUAAACGAGUUUGCUCAGUACCACAAUGAGCAGGUCACUAUCGUUUAUGCAGAUUAUUACAAUGCCCUGCUGCAAUUAUAUCAAUCUCCACACCAGUUUGGUACUUCUUCUUCAACCCCUUUAAUAUUUCUAUAUCUACCUAUUUCACAAUUUAUGAUAAAUAAUAAUAAUUCCAGGAUUUACUGGGUAGACUAGCAAAGCAUGCUGUGGAGGAGGAGGGCCAUACAACUUCAACUCAUCCCUACAAUGUGGGAAUGCAGGGGCAACUGUUUGUGAGAACCCUUCACAGUUUAUCAACUGGGAUGGCAUGCACUCUACUGAAGCAGCAUACAGGUUGAUGACCAAGGCUUUUUUUUUUUUGACGAAAAAAGGGGGCAAAAAACCCCAGAAGACAACCUACACCAGCAAAUCAGUAGGAACUAGCCUAGAUCUAGUAAUUCCUAACAAAUCAUCAAUCAAACUAGGCCCAAUCCAAGCUGGAGCAUCAACAAAAAUAUAAAAACCCAGGUCUAAGUUAUAGCUCCAGGUCGCCAAGCAAUCAACAACACUGUUUUUCUCUCUGUAAACGUGAUAAACACUGCAGCAGUUGAUCUUAUGCAUCAGCUCCCAGCAACUAGCAACUAAGGCAGCAAGAGGAUGAACAUCAGUAAGGCCCUGCUUCUGGAUCAACUGGACAGCAAGUGCUGAAUCCAUUUCAACAACAAGGUUAUUAAUCUCUUUGUCCAUAGCAAGCUUCAACCCAAAAAAUAAUCCCCAUAUUUCUGCCUCAAGAAUUUGCCCCUUCCCCAAGUUCACAGCAAAGCCACUGAUCCAAUCUCCAGAGGAAUUUCUAAUAACACCUCCAGCACCAAUAUGACCAGAGCCAUUCCUCCUAGACCCAUCAACAUUUAACUUGAACUGGCCAGACAUAGGAGGUUCCCACUUUAGAUCAACCUGGACGUUAUGAUUAUGCUUACUCAAGACAUGAGAAGCCUUAAACCACUCAUGGACAGCACGAACAAUAAGCUGUUUAGGAUCAGAAGACACAUCUUCAUCCCCUUGGAAAACUUGGUGAUUUCUCCAUUUCCACACAUACCAACAAGUAAAGAUGAACACCAGACUCCAGGGGAUAUUACUACACCAAAUAGCCUGGGAGAGAAGAUUAGUCUGAAACCAAGGCAGAAAAUCCAUUUGAAAGAAAUGGCCCUGAUGACGAGGCAUUAAAACAGUAUUCCAUAUAUCUCUAGCCUUAUAGCAAUCACGAAGAAUAUGUAAUGUAGUUUCAAUAGGCCACUCACAAACACCACAAGAAGCAUCAAGAGUCAACUGUCUUCUAACUCUUUGCUCAUUGGACAUAAUUUUACCUUACGCAGUAAGCCAAGCAAAGAUCUUCAAUUUAGGAGGUAUCUUUAGUUUCCACAAAGAACUGAAACUAUAAUCAGGCCAUGAGGGACCCUUAAAGAACAUAUUGUAAGCGGUUUUAACAGAGAAAACUCCAUUGGCAGUUCCUUUCCAAAUCUGGCAAUCCUGCAAAUUACUAGCAAAACCCACAGGAUAAUUAACAACAUGUUGAACAAGAUCUUCUGUUAAAGCUCUUCGUAAUUUAUCCAGAUCCCACCACUCAUCUUUAAAAAAAUUGGAGACAGAGCAAUCUAUAUCCUCAAUAUGCAAGACCCCAUCAUGCUUCAACAAAGGCUCAUCAAUAAGCCAACUGUCUUUCCAAAAUUUAGUAGUAUCCCCCUUACCAACCCUCCAACCUAUACCUUGCCUUAACAACUCCACCCCAUACAUAACACCCUUCCAAGUGGUAGAGCAAUCCUUUCGAAACAUCAAAGAAGAAUCUAAGACAGAUUUCCCUUUAAGAUAUUUAGACUCAUAGAUCUUAGCCCAUAAGCCCUAGUCGUUUUUAUGUAAUCUCCACCCAAUUUUAGCCAAAAGGGCCUUAUUCAUGGCAGUAGUUUUUUUAAAACCUAAACCCCCCUUGUGCUUAGGACGACAAGCUAAAUCCCAUUGAUAGAGGUGGAUCUUAAGCUUUUUCUCACUGCCACCCCAAAAGAAGUUACGAUUUAAUUUGUCUAGCUCUUGCCCAACACUAACAGGCAACUUGGAGGUCUGCAUAGCAUAGAUUGGAACAGCAAAAGUGACAGCUUGUAUAAGAGUUGCUCUACCAGCCAGAGAAAGAAACUUUGACUUCCAAGAAGCAAGCCGCUUAUGCACUUUAUCAAUUAAACAGCCAUAGGUGAAUUUAGUAAUUCUAGAAUGCAACAUAGGCAUGCCCAGAUACUUACCAAGGUCCUCAGUAAGAGGGGAGCCACAAAUCAAACUUAUGAUGACCAAGGCUUUACUACAAGGAAAUUACACCUUUCCACGCCUUGCCUCCUUGUGUGUUUCACAAAUGUGACUCAGAGACAAGAGAAUACUUGUGUGCAACGGACUCAAGAGACAGUUACCAAUAGCUAGCUACUGAAAAAGUCCUAUCUAUUUUUGGUUUUACCAUUUAAUAUUUCAAAUAAUAAGCUUUUGACUAGUAGACUAGUGUUCUUAAGUUCUUAAGCUUUUGGUUGAAUGCAAACCAUGCAGCACCCCUAUUCAUUCCAAGACACAACUUUCCUCCUUGGAUGGUGAGCCAUUAUCCGAUUCUACUGAGUAUCGUCGCUUGGUUGGUUCUCUUCAAUACCUCACACUUACUCGCCCCGACAUUUCCUUUGCAGUUCAACAUGUCGCACCAUUCAUGAGUAUCCCAUGCACUUCUCACCUUGCUGCUGCUAAGCGUAUUUUGCACUAUCUAAAAGGCACCUUACAACUUGGCCUUGUGUUUCGAUCCUCUUCUAGUCCUCUUGCACUUCAUGCCUAUUCUGAUGUUGAUUGGGCUGGGUGUCCUGACACUAGGUGUUCUACUUCAGGUUAUUGUAUUUUCCUCGGUCCGAAUCUCAUUUCUUGGAGUGCCAAGAAACAGCCUACUGUUUCUCGAUCUAGUGUUGAGUCUGAAUACCAUUCUCUAGUUAGGGUCAGUGCAGAGAUUGUUUGGAUUUCAAAUGUGCUUCAUGAACUGCAUGUACCAGUUUCAAGGCCAAUUACACUCUACUGUGAUAAUCUUAGUGCUACCUAUAUGGCCUCAAAUCCGGUGUUUCAUGCUCGCACAAAACACAUUGAAUUGGAUUAUCACUUUGUUCGUGAGCUUGUUCUUUUCGGCAGCCAUCGUGUUCAGUUUGUCUCAUCUAUUGAUCAAACUGCAGAUCUCUUCACCAAAGGCCUUCUUAAGCAACGUUUUCAUCUCCUUCGUUCCAAACUCGUCUAUCAAAGACCGCCGAGUUUGCGGGGGAAUGUUAAAGAAUUAUAAUGUCAACGGUUGACCUGAUUACUUUCCAUAUCAAUUUAUAUUUCCUGUAUCAAUUGCAUAUAUUAUGAUUGCUGUCACAAGCUAUAGUGUAGGCAUAGAUUUAUUCUUUCCAUUCUUACACUGUUGUAAAGCCUUUAAAUACUUUCUCUGAGAUUCAAUACAAUCAUCGAAUUCACAAAACUUUACACUUCAGAAUGCCAUAUGCCCUCUGAAACUCUUCUACAUAUCAGUGUCGUUGGAGACCCGUCUCUUGUUGGACCUUAAACCAAGAGGUGGCCGCCAUAUGAUUUAUAUGUCUAUGAGGAUGAGGAGGAGGAGGUUCAUCAAAUAUGCUUGAAAAGGCCACCACAUUGAACUCAUCUCUCUGUCUCUCUCUCUCACUGAUGACAUGUGCUUAGUUGCUUCAAUUCAGUCGUCAGCUUUGGAGAUUCACUUACUGAUAGGUAUUUUGGAUGUGUGUAUAAUUUAACACACACACAUACACACCAUAUCAGAGAGAGAGAGAGAGAGAGAGAUGAGUUCAAUGGGGUGGUCUUUUCGGGCAUAUUUAUAAGUGGAUGACCAAUGCUUUGUUAAAAGGAAAAUACACCAUUCCCCCAAUAGGCACCUUGUGUGUUUCAGAAGUGUGACCUCUUAUUCCAACAACUACCAGCCGGUCUGCACAAAUUACAAAGAUUUCCAGUGUGUAGGUAGAUUCUGCUUAUGGCGCACAUUUAGUGGUGUACACUGUACCUAACAUUCUAAAGAGAAGUAGUUCGACUUUAGUUCAAGUAUUUUGGAUGUGUGUAUAAUUUAACACACACACAUACACACCAUAUCAGAGAGAGAGAGAGAGAGAGAUGAGUUCAAUGGGGUGGUCUUUUCAGGCAUAUUUAUAGGUGGAUGACCAAUGCUUUGUUAAAAGGAAAAUACACCAUUCCCCCAAUAGGCACCUUGUGUGUUUCAGAAGUGUGACCUCUUAUUCCAACAACGACCAACCGGUCUGCACAAAUUGCAAAGAUUUCCAGUAUGUAGGUAGAUUCUGCUUAUGGCGCACAUUUAGUGGUGUACACUGUACCUAACAUUCUAAAAAGAAGUAGUUCGACUUUAGUUCAAGUAUUUUGUAUGUGUAUAUAAUUUAACACACACACAUACACACCAUAUCAGAGAGAGAGAGAGAGAGAGAGAUGAGUUCAAUGGGGUGGUCUUUUCAGGCAUAUUGGAUGAACCUCAUCCUCAUAUCAGUUUUCAUCAUCCCGCAUGUACUUGGUUGCUUCAAUUCGGUCAUCAGCUUUGGAGAUUCACUUACGGAUACAGGCAACUUAUACAACAGCUCCCCUAACAGAUCUCUCCACUACUUCCAACCGCCAUAUGGGGA